GGAGCAGGCUUCUACCCAUUUUGUGAAGGUAUCUACACAGACCAAGAGGUACUUUUACCUGAAGCCUGCAGGGAGAUGAGUGAAGUCCAUUUGCCAGUCCUCCCCAGGGUAUGUACUUCUCCUCUGGAUUGGACUUAUUAAUGGAGGGGGCUUCCCUCUCUGGGAAUUAUUUAUGGUACAUAGGGUAUAGGCUUGACAAACCUGUUGAAUGGUUUUGUUUAGUCCCUUCCCACUGAACACUUAUUUACAAAUUUGUCCUAGACUGUCCUUUGCAAGGUGGAAGAAGUUGUAAAAACUCUUAAUGACUUUCCAUUGGGAGGUUCCAUUUUUGGACCCAUCUUUUCUAAUAUCACUUUAAUGGGAAUAGCCCCUAUUUGCAUUAUGGCUGAGAAGAAAAAUGGAAUAGAUAUAGGGGCUCUUCCCAGUACGGUUUGCAGUGUGACUCUCACUGUAGACCCUAACCAACAAACUUACCAAACAUACACCCACAACCAAUUCUGCCAUCAACCAAGAUUCCCCACACUUUUCUCCAUCUACCUGCCAAUUUCUUCAUCUCUCCUCCAAUUUCUCCAUCUACCUCCCAAUGGAAAGCUUUUCCCUGGGAGGCUUUCCAUUGGGAGGUAGAUGGAAAAAUUCUUCCAAUCUGUACCAUCCACUGGUUUCUUCUUUAUACCCAUGUUGGCUGGACCAAUCUAUUUCUUCCUUAGUGUAUUGGAGAAAGGGCAGUUCACUGGGGAGAGAGAGGAACAAGUCUCCCAUGAAGGUAUCAUUUGACAUGGCUGCCUCUUCAGCAUUUUUGUCAGCUAACCUGUUUCCCCAUGUAGUUUAAUAGAAGCCCCUGUGGUGUCCUUCACAAUGCUCUACUGCCACUUCCUGGGGCAAAUGAGCAGCCUCCAGUAGCUCUAAGACUUGAGACCCAUACUUAAUAGGAGCAUCCUGAGCUGUUAGGUACCUUCUUUCCUUCCAGAUAGCCAUGUGGGCAUGAAGC
rnacentral:lncRNA from 1 species